rnacentral:rRNA from 1 species
UACGAAGGGGGCUAGCGUUGUUCGGAAUUACUGGGCGUAAAGCGCACGUAGGCGGAUACUUAAGUCAGGGGUGAAAUCCUGGAGCUCAACUCCAGAACUGCCUUCGAUACUGGAGCUUGAGUCCGGGAGAGGUGAGUGGAACUGCGAGUGUAGAGGUGAAAUUCGUAGAUAUUCGCAAGAACACCAGUGGCGAAGGCGGCUCACUGGCCCCGAUACUGACGCUGAGGCACGGAAAGCGUGGGGAGCAAACAGGGAAUUAGAAACCUUG